rnacentral:piRNA from 1 species
UGGACAACAAGGAAACGGCCAACUCUAA